UACAGAGGUGGCAAGCGUUGUUCGGAAUUACUGGGCGUAAAGGGCGCGUAGGCGGCCUUCUAAGUCAGACGUGAAAUCCCCCGGCUUAACCUGGGAACUGCGUCUGAUACUGGAUGGCUUGAGUUCGGGAGAGGGAUGCGGAAUUCCAGGUGUAGCGGUGAAAUGCGUAGAUAUCUGGAGGAACACCGGUGGCGAAGGCGGCAUCCUGGACCGACACUGACGCUGAGGAGCGAAAGCCAGGGGAGCAAACGGG
rnacentral:rRNA from 1 species